AGUAAAAUAAGCUAAAUAAAGCUUUUGGGUUCAUACCCCAAAAAUGUUGAUUACCUCAUCUUUUACUAA
rnacentral:tRNA from 1 species